rnacentral:rRNA from 1 species
CACGUAGGUGGCAUGGUAAGUCAAAGGUGAAAGCCCUCGGCUCAACCGAGGAAUUGCCUUUGAAACUGCUUUGCUUGAGUCCAGGAGGGGGGAGCGGAAUUCCCAGUGUAGCGGUGAAAUGCGUAGAUACUGGGAGGAACACCGGUGGCGAAGGCGGCUCCCUGGACUGGUACUGACACUGAGGUGCGAAAGCGUGGGUAGCAAACA